rnacentral:rRNA from 1 species
AACGUAGGUGGCAAGCGUUAUCCGGAAUUACUGGGCGUAAAGGGUGUGCAGGCGGGGGAACAAGUGGUGUAUGAAAUCUCCCAGCUUAACUGGGAUAGGUUAUGCCAGACUGUUCUUCUAGAGGACGAGAGAGGGGGGUGGAAUUCCGGGUGUAGUGGUGAAAUGCGUAGAGAUCCGGAGGAACCCCAGAGGCGAAGGCGGCCCCCUGGCUCGUACCUGACGCUCAGCCACGAAAGCAUGGGGAGCGAACGGG